rnacentral:rRNA from 1 species
CUACCAUGCAGUCGAACGAUUAAGGCACCUUCGGGUGCGUAUAGAGUGGCGAACGGCUGAGUAACACGUGGGCAACCUGCCCCCCUCUCCGGGACAGCCUCGGGAAACCGUGGUUAAUACCGGAUACUCCGCGACCCCCGCAUGGGGGGCGCGGGAAAGCCCAGACGGAGGGGGAUGGGCCCGCGGCCUGUUAGCUCGUUGGUGGGGCAACGGCCCACCAAGGCAACGAUGGGUAGCUGGGUUGAGAGACCGACCAGCCAGAUUGGGACUGAGACACGGCCCAGACUCCUACGGGAGGCAGCAGUGGGGAAUAUUGCGCAAUGGGCGAAAGCCUGACGCAGCGACGCCGCGUGCGGGACGAAGGCCUUCGGGUCGUAAACCGCUUUCAGCAGGGACGAGGCCGCGAGGUGACGGUACCUGCAGAAGAAGCCCCGGCUAACUACGUGCCAGCAGCCGCGGUAAUACGUAGGGGGCGAGCGUUAUCCGGAUUCAUUGGGCGUAAAGCGCUCGUAGGCGGUCCGUCUGGUCGGGUGUCAAAUCCGGGGGCUCAACCCCCGUUCGCAUCCGAUACCGGCGGACUUGAGUUUGGUAGGGGAAGGCGGAAUUCCAAGUGUAGCGGUGGAAUGCGCAGAUAUUUGGAAGAACACCGGUGGCGAAGGCGGCCUUCUGGGCCACAACUGACGCUGAGGAGCGAAAGCUAGGGGAGCGAACAGGAUUAGAUACCCUGGUAGUCCUAGC